CUUUCGGAAACAGACCCAGUUUCAGAAUCAGCAUAGCUAGGUUUCUGGUUGUUGUGAUUUGAGCCACCUGAACAUGGUUUGCAGUUCUUGUAUGCUCCUGAUGCUUUAAUGGCCAUAUCCUUGAUCUGAAAAAUAAACAAGUUACAGGUUGAAAGUGAGAGAGAAGCUCUCAUAAUAACUCAUAAGAGAGAGAAGAGGCUGCUGAGAUUUGUGGGGUUUUCGAUGCAAUAGAGGCCAACUCAAGUAUCAAAGCAAGGGUUGUGGCAAGUUGCAGCUGUUUCUCUUUCUCCCCCUGACAAGUCUGUGUGCACAACUAUAUUUUUAAUAUGGGGAGAGAGCCAACAGUAUGUUGUAUCUCUAGUUUUUAAUUCAUACAUUAAUUUCUAUUUCAAGAUUUUGUUUACUUUCACUUUUUAAAUUUCAAUUUGAUUUGUUUGAAUUAGCUAUUUAAUUUUUCAUGUUUGAUUGAUACAUAAAAAAAACGAGUGCUUUUGUAUCUUUAUCUUUUUUU